GGGCCGGUGAUCUAGCGGCAAUGAUGCCGCCUUCACAAGCCAAUGUCAGGAGUUCGAAUCUCCUCCGGCCCACCA
rnacentral:tRNA from 1 species